rnacentral:rRNA from 1 species
AACGAACGCUGGCGGCAGGCUUAACACAUGCAAGUCGAUCGCACCGCAAGGUGAGUGGCAGACGGGUGAGUAACACGUGGGGAUCUGCCCAAUGGUACGGAACAGCUCCGGGAAACUGGAAUUAAUACCGUAUGUGCCCUUCGGGGGAAAGAUUUACCGCCAUUGGAUGAACCCGCGUCGGAUUAGCUAGUUGGUGAGGUAAAGGCUCACCAAGGCGACGAUCCGUAGCUGGUUUGAGAGGAUGAGCAGCAACACUGGGACUGAGAAACGGCCGAGACUCCUACGAGAGGCAGCAGUGGGGAAUAGUGGACAAUGGGGGCAGGCCUGAUCCAGCCAUGCCGCGUGAGUGAUGAAGGCCUUAGGGUUGUAAAGCUCUUUCGCCGACGAAGAUAAUGACGGUAGUCGGAGAAGAAGCCCCGGCUAACUUCGUGCCAGCCGCCGCCGUAAGAC